AAAGGAACCAGUUCAAAUAUAAAAUGGCCGGAUACAUGAGUCUGAGAGAAGUCGUCAUCAUCAUCAUGGCAUGGUAACAGAUAAAAGACAAGACGAAAGAUUAAAACCAAAAUGGGAAGAAAGAAAAAGAAUAAGAAGGACAUCUUCAUGCCUGGUUGCCUUGUCUGGACAUCAUUGGCAGGAAUACCUAAGAAAAUGAAGUGGCCCGGGGAGAUUAUUAGAUCUAGCGACGGGAAAGUGGAGGUUUUUUGUCACUCAGACAAUUCAUGUUUUAUAGUAAACUUAGAGGAUGUCUGUCCAUUCCCUGGGGACAUGAGUCAGUGGAAAAACACAG